rnacentral:tRNA from 1 species
GUGUGGUGAAGUGGUUAACACACCAGAUUGUGGCUCUGGCAUGCGUGGGUUCGAUCCCCAUCACUCGCCU